UUAUUUCCUCAAUCAAAUGAUUAAAUUAAAUUAAAAAAAAAAAGGGAGUUGAAGGGACAUUGGAUGCUUUGUUGAAAUUUUAGUGCGAGGCUGUCUUAAUUCCGUGAGCCGUCAACACAGGCGAUAAUCUCAACACCAGAAGAAGAAGAGGAAAGGAGGAGGAGGAGCAACUGACAAUCCCUCCCUCCUCGUUUUUUUUUUUUUCUCUCUUGCAGCAUUUUCAUUAAGACCGUCCCUUGACGAAGCGAACGAGGAGGGUUGUAUUCUAUUUUUUUUCUUCUUCUUCUUCUUCUUCUUUUAUUUAAUUUCUCCUUCUACCGUUAACUCAAUUAAUUAAUUACUCUUAAUUAAUUAAUUAAUCUUAAUUAAUUAAUUUAAGACGACAAUCCCUUUUCCCUUCCUUUGCUCCUCUUUUGGGGCUUACUCAACAUGAAGAAGCAGACUUUCUUCUUUAUGGCCGCCAGCUCUCUUGCUCUUUAGAACCUAAUCUUUCGCUCACUUUCUUCAAUUAUCAAUUUAUAUAGUGAACAAGUUCAAUAGAGGCCAACUGAAUGAUGUAGCAGCUUAGAAAAGGAAAGAGGAAACGAAAUCAUUGCCUCAGGCAAACGGGGAUUAUUGAAUAAUCACGUUGCUGAUUACUUUGUGAAGGUUGGUCAUGCUUAUGGUUUUGCACAAGCUUGAUGAUGCCC